AUUGAACACUGGCGGCAGGCUUAACACAUGCAAGUCGAGCGGGGUGAUGGUGCUUGCACUAUCACUUAGCGGCGGACGGGUGGGUAAUGCUUAGGAAUCUGCCUAUUAGUGGGGGACAACAUCUCGAAAGGGAUGCUAAUACCGCAUACGUCCUACGGGAGGAAGCAGGGGAUCACUUGUGACCUUGCGCUAAUAGAUGUGCCUAAGUCGGAUUAGCUAGUUGGUGGGGUAAAGGCCUACCAAGGCGACGAUCUGUAGCGGGUCUGAGAGGAUGAUCCGCCACACUGGGACUGAGACACGGCCCAGACUCCUACGGGAGGCAGCAGUGGGGAAUAUUGGACAAUGGGGGGAACCCUGAUCCAGCCAUGCCGCGUGUGUGAAGAAGGCCAUAUGGUUGUAAAGCACUUUAAGCGAGGAGGAGGCUCUUUUGGUUAAUACCCAAGAUGAGUGGACGUUACCCGCAGAAUAAGCACCGGCUAACUCUGUGCCAGCCGCCGCCGUAA
rnacentral:rRNA from 1 species